AGGGAUCAUUACACAAAAAAUAUG
rnacentral:rRNA from 1 species